GACGAACGCUGGCGGCGUGCCUAAUACAUGCAAGUAGAACGCUGAAGGAGGAGCUUGCUUCUCUGGAUGAGUUGCGAACGGGUGAGUAACGCGUAGGUAACCUGCCUGGUAGCGGGGGAUAACUAUUGGAAACGAUAGCUAAUACCGCAUAAGAGUAGAUGUUGCAUGACAUUUGCUUAAAAGGUGCAAUUGCAUCACUACGAGAUGGACCUGCGUUGUAUUAGCUAGUUGGGGAGGUAACGGCUGACCAAGGCGACGAUGCAAAGUCGGCCUGUGAGGGUGACCGGCGACAUUGGGACUGAGAUACGGCCCAGCGGAGUAUGGGAGGCAGGAGUGGGGAAUAUUGAACAAUGGGCGGAAGAAAGAUGGAGGAACGCCGCGUGCGGGAUGACGGCCGUCGGGUUGUAAACAGAUUUCGACUGUGAAGAAGCGUGAGUGACGGUAAUUGGUAAAGAAGCAACGGCUAACUACGUG
rnacentral:rRNA from 1 species